rnacentral:tRNA from 1 species
GCUCAGUUGGUUAAGUGUCAGACUCUUGAUCUCAGCUCAGGUCUUGAUCUCAGGGUUGUGAGUUCAAGCCCCACAUUGAGCU